UACGUAGGGUGCAAGCGUUGUCCGGAAUUAUUGGGCGUAAAGAGCUCGUAGGCGGUCUGUCGCGUCGGCUGUGAAAACUCGGGGCUCAACCUCCAGCCUGCAGUGGGUACGGGCAGACUAGAGUGCGGUAGGGGGAGAUUGGAAUUCCUGGUGUAGCGGUGGAAUGCGCAGAUAUCAGGAGGAACACCGAUGGCGAAGGCAGAUCUCUGGGCCGUAACUGACGCUGAGGAGCGAAAGCAUGGGGGAGCGAACAGG
rnacentral:rRNA from 1 species